rnacentral:rRNA from 1 species
AGUCUGGUGCCAGCAGCCGCGGUAAUUCCAGCUCUCAAAAUGCAUAGAAUCAUUGCUGCGGUUAAAAAGCUCGUAGUUGGAUCUGUGCUGGCGGGUCGGUCCACCUUCGGGUGCGCACUGAUUUCGCCGGCUUUCCUGCUGUAUUUGGCCCUGUGCCUUUCAACGGGUGCAGUGUCCAGUGCAGCAAGUUUACCUUGAACAAAUCAGAGUGCUUCAAACAGGCGUUUCGCUUGAAUGUUCGUGCAUGGAAUAAUAGAAGAGGAUUUCGGUUCUAUUUUAUUGGUUUUAUAGACUGAGAUAAUGGUUAACAGAGACUAACGGGGGCAUUAGUAUUGCUACGUGAGAGGUGAAAUUCUUGGACCGUAGCAAGACUGACUACAGCGUAAGCAUUUGCCAAGAAAGUCUUCAUUAAUCAAGAACGAAAGUCAGAGGUUCGAAGGCGAUCAGAUACCGCCCUAGUUCUGACCGUAAACGAUGCCAACUAGUGAUCCGCCGGUGGAACAUUCGCCCUGGUGGGGAACUUCCCGGAAACGAAAGUCUUCCGGUUCCGGGGGAAGUAUGGUUGCAAAGCUGAAACUUAAAGGAAUUGACGGAAGGGCACCACCAGGAGUGGAGCCUGCGGCUUAAUUUGACCCAACACGGGAAAACUCACCCGGCCCGGACACCGUAAGGAUUGACAGAUUGAUAGCUCUUUCAUGAUUCGGUGGAUGGUGGUGCAUGGCCGUUCUUAGUUCGUGGAGCGAUUUGUCUGGUUUAUUCCGAUAACGAGCGAGACUCUGGCCUACUAAAUAGUUUACACAUUGCUUCUGUGUGCAUAACUUCUUAGAGGGAUUUUCGGUGUUCAGCCGCAAGAAAUUGAGCAAUAACAGGUCUGUGAUGCCCUUAGAUGUCCGGGGCUGCACGCGCGCUACACUGGCAAAAUCAGCGUGCUUGUCCUUCCCCGAAAGGGGUUGGUAAACUCGUGAAAAUUUGCCGUGAUUGGGAUCGGAAAUUGCAAUUAUUUUCCGUGAACGAGGAAUUCCAAGUAAGUGCGAGUCAUCAACUCGCGUUGAUUACGUCCCUGCCCUUUGUACACACCGCCCGUCGCUGCCCGGGACUGAGCCGUUUCGAGAAACUUAGAGACCGCUGAUCUGGUAACUUCGAUUGCCAUUUUGGUGGGAACCAAUUUAA